rnacentral:rRNA from 1 species
AUUCCAGCUCCAAUAGCGUAUAUUAAAGUUGUUGUGGUUAAAAAGCUCGUAGUUGGAUCUCGGCGGUCUGAGGGCGGUUCGCUUCAGAGCGCUACUGCCCUAUAGACCGUAGUUUUGCCAGAGGUCUCAGGGUGCUCUUAACCGAGUGUCUUGCGAUGCUGGCAGGUUUACUUUGAAAAAAUUAGAGUGCUCAAAGCAGGCUUUUACGCCUGAAUAUUCGUGCAUGGAAUAAUAGAAUAGGAAGUCGUUUCUAUUUUGCUGGUUUUCGGAAAUCGACUUAAUGAUUAAUAGGGUCAGUUGGGGGUAUUCGUAUUCCGUUGUCAGAGGUGAAAUUCUUGGAUUUACGGAAGACGAACGACUGCGAAAGCAUUUACCAAGGAUGUUUUCAUCG